rnacentral:rRNA from 1 species
GACAGAGGGUGCAAACGUUGUUCGGAAUUACUGGGCGUAAAGCGCGUGUAGGCGGCUAAGUAAGUCGGGCGUGAAAUCCCACGGCUCAACCGUGGAAGUGCACUCGAAACUGCAUAGCUAGAGUCCUGGAGAGGAAGGUGGAAUGCUUGGUGUAGAGGUGAAAUUCGUAGAUAUCAAGCGGAACACCGGUGGCGAAGGCGGCCUUCUGGACAGUGACUGACGCUGAGACGCGAAAGCGUGGGGA